GGCCCUGUAGCUCAAUUGGCAGAGCAAGCGACUCUUAAUCGUUAGGUUGAAGGUUCGAGUCCUUCCAGGGUCA
rnacentral:tRNA from 2 species